rnacentral:sRNA from 1 species
UUGCACACACAAAGUUGCAGCAAACCCCCUUUGCGAAUUUCAUGAUUGUCCCCUUGGCGGGUUGGGGCGUCGUCGCCACCCUGUGGUGGCGGUGUUCCGGCCGGCCAGCCCAAGUCCCCGGGGGCUUGGGGCUCCCUCCCUCCCGGGGAGUGAGUCUCAUCACCCGGGACGCUUGGUGUUUCCAAACCGAUUGCGCAGUGCAUCAACACUUUCAAUAUGACUGAGUAUAAAAUUUCGGAGGGGCAUUGGACUCGCGUCCGGUGCCCCCCUCGAGUUGUAAUAUAAACAAAAAACAACUCUCAGCAACGGAUAUCUUGGCUCUUGCAACGAUGAAGAACGCAGCGAAAUGCGAUACGUAGUGUGAAUUGCAGAAUUCCGCGAAUCAUCGAGUCUUUGAACGCAAGUUGCGCCCGAGGCUUGACCAAGGGCAUUUCUGCCAGAGCGUCACCGCGACACCCACCAAUCCACUCCAGGUGAGUUGGACUGAGUGAAAGUGGCCAUCCGAAUGGGGCCGCCCGGGACUUCCGUCCUUGGGUGUGGCACAUUGGGUUGGCUGAAAUGGAGGGAAUUUGGCCGCCGUGGUGACACAGCCCGCGAUCAGGUGAUCCAGGCUCUGUCUUGGAACUCAAAUGUGCGUCGGUUGUGCCUCCCAGUUGGCACUAGUAAUUCCAGAGCAGGUCCCUCCCGGCGGGACCGCCUCUCGAGGCGGUUCCGGCGGGAGGAAAAACGUCACGCAUCAGACCUCUGAUCAGAAAAGACUACCCGCUGAGUUUAAGCAUAUCACUAAGCGGAGGAGAAGAAAC